UACGUAGGGUGCGAGCGUUGUCCGGAAUUAUUGGGCGUAAAGGGCUCGUAGGCGGUUUGUCGCGUCGGGAGUGAAAUCCACUGGCUUAACUGGUGGCUUGCUUUCGAUACGGGCAGACUAGAGGUAGGUAGGGGAGAAUGGAAUUCCUGGUGUAGCGGUGAAAUGCGCAGAUAUCAGGAGGAACACCGGUGGCGAAGGCGGUUCUCUGGGCCUUACCUGACACUGAGGAGCGAAAGCGUGGGGAGCGAACAGG
rnacentral:rRNA from 1 species